UACAGAGGGUGCAAGCGUUGUUCGGAAUUAUUGGGCGUAAAGGGCGCGUAGGCGGUGCCACAAGUCACCUGUGAAAUCUCCGGGCUUAACUCGGAGCCUGCAGGCGAAACUGUGGUGCUGGAGUGUGGGAGAGGUGCGUGGAAUUCCCGGUGUAGCAGUGAAAUGCGUAGAUAUCGGGAGGAACACCUGUGGCGAAAGCGGCGCACUGGACCAUAACUGACGCUGGAUGCGCGAAAGCUAGGGGAGCAAACAGG
rnacentral:rRNA from 1 species